rnacentral:rRNA from 1 species
UACGAAGGGGGCUAGCGUUGCUCGGAAUCACUGGGCGUAAAGGGUGCGUAGGCGGGUUAUUAAGUCAGAGGUGAAAUCCUGGAGCUCAACUCCAGAACUGCCUUUGAUACUGAUAGUCUUGAGUAUGGGAGAGGUGAGUGGAACUGCGAGUGUAGAGGUGAAAUUCGUAGAUAUUCGCAAGAACACCAGUGGCGAAGGCGGCUCACUGGCCCGGUACUGACGCUGAGGUGCGAAAGCGUGGGGAGCAAACAGG